rnacentral:piRNA from 1 species
UAUCCAGUUCUCGCUUAUCCAGGUUUGA